GGUACACACUUGGGUUGCAUCUCUCUCAUUUAAAAAAAAGGUCCAGAUCCGCUAUUGUAGAAAUUUUGAAAAUAUAUUGAAGAUUACACAUAUAUAGGAGCAAACCUGAAAUCAUGUUGCACAAUGGAGUCACGCCAUGGGUGAGUAAAAAUGGGGGAGGGGUGUCAAGAAUGAAAAUGUACGCUGACAUUUUUUUUCAAUUUAUAUUUAGAUGUUAUAGCCAAAGUUUAAUUUAGAUUUUUUAGAAUUUACGUUUGCAGAUCUAAAAGAUACGGGAGUACGUGGUAGUUGGGGGGGGGGGGGACAUAUAAAAAGAUCUCCCCUUCCUUCUCUUUGGUUGCAAAAUUUUCUUGAUCCGCCACCAAAAAAAAAAAAAAAAAAAAAAAAUCUUGAAAGGAACUUCUCGGGUCAUUCCGUAAGCUCGGGAAUAUGAAUGUGUUGUAUUUCACUUGCCGGAAAGACUCGAGAAUGUACGAUUGCUAAAACAAGAGUUGUCUUUCUUGAUGAAGCAGAAGACACUUGCGGCGAAAACGAAGAUGGAUGCCGAAUCAGCGUGAUCAGACAGAAAGCUUAUAUUUGCGGAUACUUAGCGAAAAUGACUGUCGGGUACAGUACUAUGACACAAUUUGUGAGGCCAAUCAGCCAGCAACGUCCACCAUUUCUGGACACCCAUUGUCCGAUUUCACCACGACCUGGUGUACAUCUUUUAAAUGUGGAACUGUGACUAUUCACGGUGGUGACUGAAGUCUGGUCAGUCGGCAGGCAGCAGUACUCAAUUUACCGCAUUCCUACAAUCCAACUGAAAUUACGGGUAUUCAGAAUCGGCCUUUAAACAGUUGAUGAAGCCCGCCCUGGUAGAUGGAAUCUGCCGCUUGACCAGCAGCACUGUCCAGGUCAGUGGUUACCUAUUGCUCUAAACAAGGGUGGUACGUGGAGACUCAUUUUUCCUGAUGGUCUUGACGUUCACUAGCUGGCAAUAUUUGUGACUCAUAUCAGCCUCAUUUACAUUCUGAAGUUUUAAUUCAUAAUAUAUUGCUGGAUAUUUGUAGAGACAGUGGUUCAGAUGCUGGAUAUAUGACUUUUCCUCAGCCCAUCAUUACCUGCUGGAGUGCUGGUAGAGGCUGAACGCUUUAAUAAAUAUAACUGUGAUCUUGCUGAGAUGUAGUAAUCCAUGGGAAUUUUCCAAAGAAGAUUCAAGAGAAGUAUUCAAUUAUAUAAGUUCAGACUGUAGAGAGCAUGAAAGCAGAUAUUACAGUUAUCUCCCUUAGACUAGAUGAAUUACAAUACAGAACUUUCAAAUCAUCUAAGUUUAGAGUUAUAAUGCUAUUUGAAUUCUUUGAAUUUGGCUACGGUUACUAGUUAAAGACAUAACCACAUGUAUUGCCUCAGUUUACUUACAAUUAUAAUAUAUACCUAUAAGUAUAAAUUGUCCUUCUCUUAAUUUUGUAUACUCUGUGGAAUUUAUAAAAAUUGCAUGAUCACUGUUCGUUAUCUUCUCUUUAUAUUACCAGUAUAUUCUAUGUACCUGACUCACCAGGAAUGCAUUGUUAGGUCACCUUAGUCACUCAGGUGAUCGUUUGCUAUUGAUCUGCCCGUUCGUUAUCGCCGUCUGUCAAUUGUAUAUCGAUUCGUUAAACACCCCUCUCAACAAAAUUUCACUCAUGGAGACAUCAUCAGUUCCGGCGAAGGGCUGCAAAAUUUAGGUCUAUGCUCGGCGCUUAUGGCCUUUGAGCAGGGAAGGAUUUUUAUCUUGCCACAAAACAUUCUUGGGAAAAGGGGAUUCAUGUUUGUUCAAAUGAAGCAGCGUGUCAACUUGAAAGGGGAAAUUAUACAGUGAAACUUCUCCAAAUCGGCCCCUCAGAAAACCACUCCUCUCUGAAUAUCGCCCAAUUCUUAAAGUCUCUGUAGGAAUCUUAACAUAUCCUUUCAAAGAAAUUCAUAUAGUCCAAAGUGUGACUUUUCGAGAUCUCCGCCAUUUUUGACAAGGGACUUCUGGGAUGAUCCUCAGUUAUAGGUUCAGAUUUAGCUCGGAUUAUUCUGUGCUCUUUAGUCAUUGGAGCUUGCAGCAUGAGCCAGAGCACUGCACUCACUAUUAAUAUGCAAGUAGCUGCAUUUAAUUCAAAUUGAAGUUGAACACAAGGACCCCAGGGGUAGGGUGGGGGCACAAUAUGAAAUCGGAGUUUUAUAUGGUAAUAUGCAGAAAAUUUAUUAAAACAAAGACUUUUCAAGAGGAGCAGGGCCACACUAAAUCAUAUCCAAAUGCAAAUGUCCCCAAGUUGUGUGAAAACAAGGUUUUUUUAUGACCCUGACUAAGGAUGGGGUGGAAUUGUUUUUGUCCUGUCUGUCUGAAAUUUUAACCUUCCUCAUAACUUUUGAAUAAUGAGCAGUGGGGCUCUCAUAUUUGCAUUCUUUUUUAUGACCAUAA